GAUGAACGCUGGCGGCGUGCCUAAUACAUGCAAGUCGAGCGAACAGACGAGGAGCUUGCUCCUCUGACGUUAGCGGCGGACGGGUGAGUAACACGUGGAUAAUCUACCUAUAAGACUGGGAUAACUUCGGGAAACCGGAGCUAAUACCGGAUAAUAUAUUGAACCGCAUGGUUCAAUAGUGAAAGACGGUUUUGCUGUCACUUAUAGAUGGAUCCGCGCCGCAUUAGCUAGUUGGUAAGGUAGCGGCUUACCAAGGCAACGAUGCGUAGCCGACCUGAGAGGGUGAUCGGCCACACUGGAACUGAGACACGGUCCAGACUCCUACGGGAGGCAGCAGUAGGGAAUCUUCCGCAAUGGGCGAAAGCCUGACGGAGCAACGCCGCGUGAGUGAUGAAGGUCUUCGGAUCGUAAAACUCUGUUAUUAGGGAAGAACAAAUGUGUAAGUAACUAUGCACGUCUUGACGGUACCUAAUCAGAAAGCCACGGCUAACUACGUG
rnacentral:rRNA from 1 species